UCGAGGGCCUAAAACUACGAAGCGGGCGCGCGCAUGAGGCGAGAAGUUGGAAAAGAAGAAACGGAAGAAGAAUCUGGGGCGCCCGAAUGUCGCACCGUGGCGUCUGUUCUCCGAGUCGCGCUUGUGCUCACGUCUCAUCGUUAAGCCUACAACGACACCAUCGCGCCUGUUUCCUCUCGGCGGCACUUCGUCACCGGCGUAAAAAAACUGCACUGGAGGCCGCACUUCCGCACUUCUGCCUGCAACGCUGGCGGAGAUGGAGCGACAUGCGCGCGCUCAGCCCGCAACUCGGAACACGAUGCGAGUGACCAUCAAGACACCGCCGGGCAAGAAACGAGCUCCUAGCAAGGAGGCCAAGAAGCAGACGUUGCGGCCGCUGUCUCGCGGUGCUUCGUCAAGGGCAAGGGCCGUGGCACUGAACAAGCUGCCUCUCCGAGACCGUUUCCUUCUCUCCUUUUCCAUUCCCCUCAUCCUCGUUUCGUUCAGCCUGCUGACGUUCAUCGCCGGCCACGUCAUAGCGAGGAUGGUGGGGCGCGCCAAGGCACGGAAAGCCGAGAAGAUAACCGCGGACGUGGGCAUGCUCAACGCUUCCCGCGAAUCAACGGCCACGUCCGAAGCGGCGAUCUCGAUAGCGACCGGAGCGACGUCUUUGGACGCGGCAGCGCCGCCCAACGCGUCUCAACUGGUGGUUGGAAGCGGCACCAUUCCUACACUGAUCGACAUUGAUACCCGUAAAGGCUAUCGGCUCGAAAGUCUUGGCGCUUUAUUACCAUUGCGCCGAAGACGCUAGACAGCGGCCCUGCACUACCGUUCGACGAUGUGGGUGCGUCGAGUACCAUCCGAAGUGCUGCUGGCAUGACGGGCGAAGCUACGCCCGCCGAAUUAGCGAUAAUUAUCGAGUACCAUGACCGCUUAGAGGCACUCGACAAGAACACCGCUACGAGCACCACAGCUCGUGACAUGGAAUCCGAACGGAAAGCCUACAUUACCAAAGGUCCUGAAAGAACGGAUAUGGUACGGACAGCUACGGCAGCCGUCUACACCGCUGCCGAAACAAAGACGACAAAUGUCGCCAGAGCUGGGGACACCGCACUCACCGUUUCUGCCGAGACAAGAGCGCCUGCUGGCAGAUCCGACACACCACCUGGAGAUGUCCGCGGUGCUCCCGGGUCUGGAGAUGGGAACCCAUCUGGAGGAAUCGUCGCAGACAUCGUCGAUCCCUACCACAACAAGGACGAAGGCAUCACCGACACCAAAACCGGUGAUGAGACCGAAAGCAGCGAUCUGUCGCUGAUAGGCCCCUCCCCUCCAGACUACACGACAGCAACUGCCCUUGCACCGUCGUCCACCACCGUUUUGCGCGCAGCUUACCUGCUCGACAUUCCAGCGAUCGACGACGGUAUCUCGGUCCCCACUGCAGUCACCGGCGUUUACCCAAUCGAGAACAGGAGUGCAUUUAUCACAGCGAUACACCAGACCGAGAUCGUCGGUUCAGCGCCAAUGCAGGGAGUCACUCGAUCAAAGACCAAGGGUAAAGCGGAGGGCAGAGGCGCACCCGUAAGCAGGUCAGCGACGAGCACGCUGGCAGAGUGGAUGGUGACACAGCAAACGUGGGUGUCAGCAAAGUUAGGUACGCCAUCGCUCUCGGGUACACGAGCUGAGGUAGCCGAACAACCGCGUGCAAGACCGAUGCAUGAGACAAUCAGGUCGAGCCGUACGCGAGUGCCAUUGAAAAAAGGCGCCCUCUUGGAGAGGACCACGACAACGGAGACGCCUGGGAAAAUGAUAACACCGCAGUAUAUGCUCAUAGGCAGGUACGGUACGAUACCGAAGGACGAAGAAUUUCGCUGGGGCCUUUUCAACAGUACCGAACCUGCAACACCCAGAGCCGCUUCCCGGACAGAAAUCUUUAUGUCCAACGAAAGAAUCGGAUAUGCAACCAGCCAAGCGAAGGCUGCAUCCAUAAGCUCGAGUACGGGUGGAAACUCUGCUUCUGGUGACACGAUGACGGCUAUGGCAAAAGACGCAACUGAUACCAGUGUUAACAUCAAGCAAGGAGGGACGAGCAGCCACGUUAAUGAAAUCGAAGAAACUGCUUCACGUCCGAAUGACGCAACUCAGUUUAAUGGUAUCGUAACAAAUGAAAUUCCGACUGAAAAGUCUAAAAGCACUGGCGUCAGCAAAAUCAGUGCUGUGACGAGCACCAUCCCUAUAUUUGCUACCACAGAAAACCAGACAGGAAAGCUAAAAGGUCUUGACGGAGUGCAUGCUGCUGUAGAAACGGGAUGGAGUAACGAAACAACCGUUCACGGGGCCACAACGCCGUCUCAAGAUUUUAAGAAAGAAGCAAUCUCUUCUCGAAUUUCUUCUGCUAGCGAAAAUUCGCUUCGGAAGACGUUACGUCAACAAGAUACUGCAGGAAACACUACGAGCAGCCCUGCGCUAAAUGAAUACGGACGCACAAAUGUCGGCAUUUUAUAUACAAACGGAGAGGUACGUUCCGAGGAUACAAAUGUGCCCGCCAUGCUUGUCAGUACUCCAGGCAUCAGUCGCGAUGCAUCUGUGCACACUACAGCCGCGGGUACAGACGUAACAAGAGUGCACAUGGCAAGCAUUCGCAAAUCGGGCACUGCUUCCACGGUGAAAGCAAAGUCGGUGUUGCCGGGCUAUUUCCGCACCGGCCCCGGCAUCAAUCCAGCGACAGUGGCUUCUGUUAGCGCACCGACUGACCACAGCAUCACUGAAAGUGGGACUUCAAGAAACCAACGCAAGGCAUUAUCGACCACUGCCGUAUCCGUAACCGCAAGAACUGCGAAAGAGAUUAGUACACCGGAGCCUAGUACGCAUUUACACAGCUUCACGGCGACGUCAGGUGUUCAAACUCCCGUGCCCCUGCCUGCCACAAUCGAUGCACUCAAGGAUAGACAGCGCGGCCAAGCAUUCACGAUCAUCACGUCACCUAUCGCCAGCAUCGAAAACAGAGAGACUAACCAUCGAGAAGCCACAGUUUCUUCGCAAGCUCGCCACCCUAUACACAGCGUCGGGAGGAACACUAUAAUUCCAGCAAUGACCAUCCAAACUGCUAUGACCGGCAAUAGAGGGACUACUACAACGAAGUCAACGACCGCCACUGGAGAAACUGGCACGGGGUGUCCGUUCGAGCCUCUGCUUUCGAUGAAAAGGCGUCACCCACUUGGCUGAAUAAAAGCGGUGCUCACAUUCCCGCGAACGCAACCGGUGCAACAAUCGAGGCCACCGAGAACCGACCGACUGUAACCACCGAAGAAACUUCUACGGUUACUAAUACCGAUACGAACGGCGUCCGCAAAGAUGAAAAGGGAAACCUCAUCGUGACACGAGGGACGGGAGAGAGCCAAUUCAUUGCAACUAACGAGGCUGCCAGUACUGGCACAGAGAGAAACAGGACUGCAGAAGCGAAGACUGCCAGUAACGGCGACGAGGGUGUCACGGCCUUAACGACAGCGACAAGCGCCGCCGGGACGCCGACGCGAAAUAGUGAAGAGAGCGCGGACAGUUUGACCACCACACGCGGCUCCGUAUUGAGCGACCCCAACACUGAAACGCCUACCAAUCUUGCGACUGCUCCGGCUAGUCCAGGCGGAUCUGCUGGCGCCAGCGAAAUCAAAACAUUCCCUGCCUGGCGCAUUAAUGACGCUCUCAAGGCAAAUGCGGGCAAGUCACUGGCCACAGUGGGUCGUAAAACGCCCGUUAUUGGCUACACUAAUGUAGCGGCUAGUGAGACAAAGGUGGAGACUGCUUGGCGCAUCCUAGCUGCUGUGACUCGCCUUUCAGUGCCCGUCAUGACCAGCGCAUCCGCAGCCAAUGGUGACGCUGUGCCGAGAAGCUCCGCACAAGAUGCGGGCGCCGGGAGGAACGCGACCUUUCCCGCUAUGAUCAUCCAAACUGCGAUGACCGGCAAUCGAGCGACUACUACAACGAAGCCAGCAAUCACCACUCGUGGAAGUCGAGUGGUCAGCUCCGUCCCAAUAUCUGUCUUCGAUGUAAAGGCGCCACCCACUAGCCUGAAUAACAGCGGUGUUCAGAUUCCCGCGAAUACGGCCGGUACGCCACCUUUCACAGCUGUCCUCGAAACACGCCGGUUUAGUCUACCUGAGGCAAUGACUACUGACAAGAGAAUUUUGCCUGCCUGGCCGAUUCGAUCCGCCGUAACGAGACAUCCGACGCCCGCCAUCGCAAAGUCAUCCGCAGCCUCUCGUGGAUCAAGGCCGGUUAGGUCCGCUCGAGCUGCCGGUUACGGGGAGACCAUGACCUUUCCCGCUAUGCUCACUCAAGCUGCUGCGGUGAGUCAUGCGGUGCCUAUGCUAACAAAUCAAGCCACUGACAUUCGCAAGGCGCCUAUCUAUAACAUCGCUUAUAUAUAUGGUGUCGACAGGAACCCUAUUCGCACCCGACCUGCCAAAAGCGCAAAGACAGCCCGCGCUGGCGCUUUCGGCCCACCGAUAGUCGCUGCCACACGCAAAGAUUCGAGCACCAGGCAUACUGAAGCACGUGCUAGCGAUAGCAAGAACACAACAGUUUGGCACUUUCGUGAUAUUCGAAUGCGCAAUCCACGUCCAGUUUUUCGCAGUUCAGCGCUAGACGGCACACCAACGUCCAAGCGGGGCAAGAAGGCCUCUGCAGCCGCCAGGCUGCUUCAACGUGCUGCAACGACCCGCACAAAGCGAGCCACUGCGAAGGGUCAAGCCUUUGCCGGUUUCGAAACUCUGCGGCCUCGCUUCUAAGUCAACACUGUAAGGCUGCCCUCGCGCAGUGCUUGUUCGUUCGCACCAUCUUCAUAGCCUCCAGGCCAAUAGAUUCAAAGACUCCAACUUGCUGAUUUCUUUAGUGUGAGCUCUCUUUGGUGAUGACUCUGCUUCUUAAUCCAAGAAGGACUCUGUAGGUUUAACCAAGCCUAACAAAAAAAAAGUGUGUUGAAAAUAUACCCUAAGGCAACCAAGCAUACCUGAUGCGACCUGAGGCCAAGGAAGAAACUCAUGUUUCUCGCCGUGACGUCCGCCGAAGCCAGGAAUGUCAGCCCCUAGUACUGCAGCCGUGUAAAGUACUCUUACAGCGACACGUCAUUCGAUAGCGCGACCCACUUCGCCGCUCUCUUCGACGUCAUAUUCAAAACGCUAGUUGUGACACUUCAGUCAAGAAAACGAGCGCGUGGAAAGUUAACCUUCCCUUUUUAUUUUGAACGCGAACUGGGCGCACUUCAAGGAAGCUGUGGUGCAAUAAAAUGUCUUAAUUUUUUGUUUUAAAUAUAUGCGAUAUGAGCUCGCCUAUGUCAAACGUC